UGCCGUAUUUGACGGUCUCAAAAAUUUGGUGUUUAUUGCAAUAAUUGCAUGGUAAGCAUCAAAGAUCCAUGUGAUCGUCGAGUCUUUGACAGGCCGCAAGGCCUAUUU
rnacentral:misc_RNA from 1 species